AUUUAGGAUAGUCAAGAAAAAGCCAGGACACUGACUAAAGCACAAAUUUCUCUAUUUAUAGUGGGAGUGCUUUCGCUUUAAAUCCACAUCCCCAAAACGAAAAGGGACAGUGGAAAUUACACAAAUUCGCAUCAUUGGCAUAGGGCAUAGUGACACCAACAUUUAUGCAUUGCGUGAAAAAAGAAAUCAGAGCCGAAGCAUCCAGCGUCGAAAAUGGCAACUGCAUUGAGAGAGGUGCAAUCACCUCUCUUCCUUCACCACCGCCAUGUCCGUCUAAAACAUUGCUCUAAGUUCAUGAACUAGAGCCUUAAUAUCUUCCUUAGUAGAAGGAUCAGUAUCUGUUUAG